AGCUGCUCUGCAGAGAAGCAAUUGGGAAUCCCUGGUCUCUGAUAAUACUUCUAGUUAUGUAAAGACAGCUACAGAAGCAUCCAGGAGAUGAGAAGAAAAAGAACACACAAAGUCAGCAGGUGGGAGACCUUGAAAAGGACCAAGACCUGCUACACGAAGUGCAUCUGGGCCAGGAGCACGGGUGCAUCUGUGUCAGAAUCCACAUUUUCACACAUUCUCCACGUGGACU